UUUAUGGUCAUAAAGAACCUUCUGGAAAGGGGGUGCUUGGCUGGAAGCUAGGUCACUCUUGACUUCACCGUCUCCUCAUCAGUAUCCUGCCGCAGCCCCUGCCCUUCGCUCAUCUCAGCAACCCUCCACGCUGCCCACACCUGGUGCCCCCACAGUCCCUGCAACGCGGCUUCCACAGUCCCUGCGUUUAAGACACGGCCGGCUUCCAACUCCUGGACCUGACCCUCAUUGGCUCAGACCCAGUGAUGUACUCAUCUCUGAGCCAAUCAUGGUGGGCAAGGGGAGGGGCUAGCUGAGGGGCUUAGACCAUUCCGGAUCCACGCCUGGAGUGCGCAUGGGCUUUCCCAGAAGUUGGUGCAGUCGCAGACGGACAGAUAGCUAGAGACCUGCCGUACCAACCCGCCAAAGUUCCUCUGCCGCAGUCGAUUCUGGAUCAUCGUGAUGUCCCUGGAAACUGAGGCUCUUGAAUCUAUGACACUUUACAAAUAGACUCUGAGGCCCUGACCUGGGACGUCCCCAGCAAGGGAGAGCCCCGCAGUCAGGUCACCGGUUAGUUAACACGGACACUGCAGUGUCUGGAAAGGGAAGAGUGGCCCCAACGAUAUGGUUCUGAGAACCUAGGACCUGCUCACCGCCCUGUGCCCAGUGGGGGCCUCCUUCAUGGGUUCAGAUUCAUGUGUGGAUUUUUAUGUCUCCAACCGCAUGACAUAGCAGCCUUGAGAAAUUUCCUCUUGGUUAAAGCAAGAGACCCUGGUAACACCACCCCACCAGGUAAGCGUGCUCAUUUGGGAUCCAGGGGGCCCGACCGAAUGUCUCAAGGCACAAACUGUAGAAUGAAGCUCCUGGUCUUAAAAUAGGGCACAUCGGGACCUCAGAGGGCCAGCUGGGCACGGUGAGCCCACCCAUCGCGGCUGCCCAGGGAGCCCACGGCUCAAACAUCUGACAGGUCCCCUUGAGAACUUCCCCGGACCCAGCUCCUUCCCGGUCUGGCCACCUUCACCCCUACUCCCAGCUCUAAACAGAAUCACUGACCCCCAUCACUCACCUGCUUACCCAGCAAGGUCCCGAAUGACUUUUGGCAGUUUCCAAAAAUCUAAUCCAGUGCCAGAAAGAUACUAUGUAACCUGUGCACUAUGUGUCCUUAUAUUUUAAAGGAUCUGCCACGGGAUAGUGACAGACAUUUUUGUGUGUGUUUAUUUAUUUAUUUUUGAGAGAGAGAGGGAGAGACAGAAUCCCAAGCAGGCUCCACAGUGCCAGUGCAGAGCCCGACACGGGGCUCAAACCCACCAACCGUGAGAUCGUGACCCGAGCCGAAAUCCAGAGUCGGACGCUUAACCGACCCAGGCGCCCCUGUAACAGACAUUUUUAAAAAGAAUUGUAGAAACAUAUUAAGGAAAAAUGCAGCAUGUUAUAACUGCAAAACAUUAAUCGUACAAACAUGUGUUUGAACGUAAUGAAAAAAUAUCUCUUCGGUGGAUAAGACGAACUAACAAAGGUAACUUCUCUAAAGCAUGACACACGGUAGUACGCACACAAGGGUUUUUUCUAUGUAUAGGUUCGUUUCUCAGGUCAUAUAAUUUAGGUGGCUUACUAUUCUGCUUGGCUGUAAGUGACAGACAGCCCCCCCCCCCCAAGUAAACAGUGGGCUGCGUUUUUUUUCCUCUCCCGUAAAAGUGCGCUGAUCUGGCCCCUCGUGGCUGCCGUGUGAGGGUCUAGGCUCCUCCCAACACGCACUGCACGGUGGGUAAAGCUCUACACGUACAUUUCCAGAACUCGGUUACCUGGUCGCAUCCAGGUCAGGCAAGUCCGGGAGAUGUUUGCAUUUGAGGAAGCCAUGCUCUGGCUAAAACUCAGGGACCUUAUUUCUUAGGAGAAGGAAGAAGGCAGCGGGUUGUGGGCUGGGUAGCAGUCUCGGCCACCGCCCACCCUGCAGCCACCCACAUAUCGGCGCUCGCCCUUCUGCUGCACCCACAACCCACCCCCGCCGCACCCCCGGACACAGCGGCAAAGCCCCAGCCGGUCCCCGCAUCUGCCUCAAAACGCAGGGUCCCAAGGAUAACGCGGAAAACCUCCCCACCAGAAACGGUUCGACAAGCUACGAACCAGGCAGUCCCUGGCUCCCAGUCCACCCAGCAUAAGGCGGGUGGGUGGGAAGGAGACGCCGGCACGAAAAACCCCCCUCUGGAGCAAAGACUGAGAAGCACAACCUCCCCUGGUCCAUCCACGUGCGCCAAUCCGAGCGGGAGGAACAGCCAGGACGCCAGGGCCCCCCGCUGGGGUCCUCGCGAGAGUGUCUGUUCCAAAACGUGUGGACCUCGGAUCCAUCAGUUGCCCAUCAGCUCUGGCCGUCAAGG